UACGUAGGUGGCAAGCGUUGUCCGGAAUUAUUGGGCGUAAAGCGCGCGCAGGUGGUUCCUUAAGUCUGAUGUGAAAGCCCACGGCUCAACCGUGGAGGGUCAUUGGAAACUGGGGAACUUGAGUGCAGAAGAGGAUAGUGGAAUUCCAAGUGUAGCGGUGAAAUUCGUAGAUAUUGGGAAGAACACCGGUGGCGAAGGCGGCCAACUGGACCACAACUGACGCUGAGGCGCGAAAGCGUGGGGAGCAAACAGG
rnacentral:rRNA from 1 species